ensembl:lncRNA
CUGGACUACAACAUUGUGAAUGCCCAGGUCGCCUUGAAACUACAGUAGUGUGCACCGUCCGUUGCCAUUUAUGGUUUGAGAGGUUAGCUAGGGAGUGACGUUUGUUAGGGAGUGACGUUUGCAGUGCCGAACGAGGUUCAUUGAAGUCUUGGUUGAAGUAUAUUUUCGACCUAGAUUCAUUGAAGUCAGCAACUCCAGUGAGGCGGCGGGGAGACCAAAACACGUUGAAACUGGGAUUAAUCUAUGACGAGCACACUUCUCCAGCAUGCCAGUGGCCAUCGACGGUUAGCAUUUGCCCACUGAAGUCUGUUAUGAUGCUGAACUGCAGUCAGGUCAAGACCCUGACCAUUCCGCAGGUGAAGAAGCCGGAUGCUGA